rnacentral:rRNA from 1 species
GACGAAGGAUGCAAGCGUUUAUCCGGAUUCAUUGGGUUUAAAGGGUGCGUAGGCGGCCCGGUAAGUCAGUGGUGAAAUCUCCUUGCUUAACAAGGAAACUGCCAUUGAUACUGCUGGGCUUGAGUACAGAUGCUGUGGGCGGAAUAUGACAUGUAGUGGUGAAAUACAUAGAGAUGUCAUAGAACACCGAUUGCGAAGGCAGCUCACAAAACUGUAACUGACGCUGAGGCACGAAAGUGCGGGGAUCAAACAGG